rnacentral:rRNA from 1 species
UACGGGGGGGGCAAGCGUUGUUCGGAAUUACUGGGCGUAAAGGGCUUGUAGGUGGCCAACUAAGUCAGACGUGAAAUCCCUCGGCUUAACCGGGGAACUGCGUCUGAUACUGGAUGGCUUGAAUCCGGGAGAGGGAUGCGGAAUUCCAGGUGUAGCGGUGAAAUGCGUAGAUAUCUGGAGGAACACCGGUGGCGAAGGCGGCAUCCUGGACCGGCAUUGACGCUAAAGCGCGAAAGCCAGGGGAGCAAACGGG